UACGUAGGGGGCAAGCGUUGUCCGGAAUUACUGGGCGUAAAGCGUGCGCAGGCGGUUUCACAAGCUCGAUGUGAAAGCCCCGGGCUUAACCUGGGAAUGGCAUUGAGGACUGUGGAGCUCGAGUGCGGCAGAGGGAGGUGGAAUUCCACGUGUAGCAGUGAAAUGACGUAGAGAUGUGGAGGAACACCGAUGGCGAAGGCAGCCUCCUGGGCCGACACUGACGCUCAUGCACGAAAGCGUGGGGAGCAAACAGG
rnacentral:rRNA from 1 species